rnacentral:rRNA from 1 species
CCUACGGGUGGCAGCAGUGGGGGAUAUUGCACAAUGGGGGGAACCCUGAUGCAGCGACGCCGCGUGGGUGAAGAAGCGCCUCGGCGCGUAAAGCCCUGUCAGCAGGGAAGAAAAUGACGGUACCUGAAGAAGAAGCCCCUGCUAACUACUUGCCAGCAGCCGCGGUAAUACGUAGGGGGCAAGCGUUAUCCGGAUUUACUGGGUGUAAGGGGGGCGCAGACGGCGUUGCAAGCCAGGAGUGAAAGCCCUGGGCACAACCCCGGGACUGCACUGGGAACGGCGGGGCUGGAGUGCAGGAGGGGAAGGCGGAAUGCCUGGUGUAGCGGUGAAAUGCGUAGAGAUCAGGAGGAACACCGGUGGCGAAGGCGGCAUGCUGGACUGCAACUGACGUUGAGGCCCGAAAGCGUGGGGAGCAAACAGGAUUAGAUACCCGUGUAGUC